UACGUAGGGGGCGAGCGUUAUCCGGAUUCACUGGGUGUAAAGGGAGCGUAGACGGCCAAGCAAGCCAGGGGUGAAAGCCCGGGGCCCAACCCCGGGACUGCCCUUGGAACUGCAUGGCUGGAGUGCGGGAGGGGCAGGCGGAAUUCCUGGUGUAGCGGUGAAAUGCGUAGAUAUCAGGAGGAACACCGGCGGCGAAGGCGGCCUGCUGGACUGCGACUGACGUUGAGGCUCGAAAGCGUGGAGAGCGAACAGG
rnacentral:rRNA from 1 species